AGGCUUAUAGGUGGAAGGGACUUGCCUUGUCUCAGGCAAUUUGAAAGUAAGCAGAUUGUGUCUAAAGACAUAAGAAUUGUUUUCAAGCAUCCAAAUGAAACAGUGGGAGGUGCAGAGAAUAUUGAUUUGUAUAGAGUUGACUUACGUUUGUGGAUUUUUCAUUCAAUAAAAACAGGUUUUUUUUUUUAAA